rnacentral:tRNA from 1 species
GCUCCCUUAGCUCAGCUGGAUAGAGCAGCUGCCUUCUAAGCAGCCGGUCCCGUGUUCGAAUCACGGAGGGGGCG